UCUCACACAUUUGUGCCUGCGUUGUAAGCUAUAGAAAUUGCGAUGAAAAGGAAAAUUUGAGAACAAAAGCGUUUGCGUGGUUAGAACUAUUAAACAUUAAAGUGAUUGUUAUCAUGCGACCCUAUAAAUAAGUAAAGAAGCAGAAAGGCCGACGGGUCAAAUUCCGCUUGAGGUCGGGUUGGGAACUGAAACCGACAUGUGAAUGUCACGUGACAUCAAUUUAACCAAUCAGUAUACAUGGACGUGGAUUUCGCUGAUCGGCGGUUCUGCAUGAUUACUAUCAUUUUCGGGAAUAAUUUGCAUAAAGUUUCUCUCCGCUUCCAUCAGCUUCAGACUAGCCUAACGACAUCGAGGAAACAGGCGAGUGAAGUCAUCCCUCAUCCGACGAGUACGAGGCCGGUUGCUGAGACGGCGGGGACAGAGGACAAUCCCGGGGUGACGGGUGGCUGCUAAACCUUUAGAAAAGUAACCUGCAAGUGAAGUGCCUGUCCUUGAACACGGGGGAGCAAUUCUGUCUCCUAGCAACCGAUAUAACCUCCCCUCACUGGGGGUUUUGCUUGCCACUUAUGUGUAGCGCCAUCAUACUGGCCUGCAAAAUCCCAACUGAGGAGGGCUGAAAGCUGCUGAUGCUGGACCAAUCAAAGAGCUGGUUACAGUCAGGUAUCCAAUCAUGCGUGUAAAGUCAAACACAUGCGUGGAAUCACACCUUCUAGGUAACUUUACCUACUGACUUUAGACUGAAUGACGUCAUAAACUUACUUAGGUUUCAAAUGUGGGAUCUCUGUUACGGAAGUGCAUGCAUUCUGGUUGUUUUCCGAGAAUUGUUUAAUUAGUAAGAUUAUGGGUUUCCAAUGGCAAUACGUUUUUGAAGGUAUGACAGCAUAUUGUGACGUUACGUAGGAAUAUCAGGGAGGUUCAAUAAAUUGUCUACUAUUUCAAAGCAUGGUGCUGUAAUUGUUAUAAAUACCGUAUUUCCUCAAUUAGAAGCCGGUUCGUCUAUCAAUUUCGGCAAGCCGUUGACCCGGGGUCUAUUCUAUCCUAUUCUGCACAGUGGCCUACCUAACGAAUCCCAAAUUCUAGUCAUACAAAGAGUACAUUUUCAGGGAACGGUCGUUAUUAAUCACCAACAUAUCACAGUGUUAUCUUGGGAUCGGGCGUCUUACAGAGGCCCGGCUUCUACCUUUUGGACAGAGCGUAUGGCGUCAGUUGGAGGUCGGCGUGUAUGGAGUCUCAGCGUCUAAUAGAGGAAAUACGGUACUCUUAAUCUAAGUUUCAGGUUUCAAAAUCUUGUAGAGACUGUUGUCGUGAGUGUAUAAGGAAGGAAGCAAGACACCCCACGCAGGAUUUCACAGGCUUCUCUAUACUGUAUUUAUUAAUAAAACUCGUGCCAGAAGA